rnacentral:rRNA from 1 species
GACGAACGCUGGCGGCGUGCUUAACACAUGCCAGUCGAACGGAAAGGCCCUGCUUUUGUGGGGUGCUCGAGUGGCGAACGGGUGAGUAACACGUGAGUAACCUGCCCUUGACUUUGGGAUAACUUCAGGAAACUGGGGCUAAUACCGGAUAGGAGCUCCUGCUGCAUGGUGGUGGUUGGAAAGUUUCGGCGGUUGGGGAUGGACUCGCGGCUUAUCAGCUUGUUGGUGGGGUAGUGGCUUACCAAGGCUUUGACGGGUAGCCGGCCUGAGAGGGUGACCGGCCACAUUAGGACUGAGGUACGGCCCAGACGCCUACGGGAGGCAACGGUGGGAAGUAUUGCGGAAUGGGCGGAAGCCUGAUGCAGCAACGCCGCGUGCGGGAUGACGGCCUUCGGGUUGUGAACCGCUUUCGCCUGUGACGAAGCGUGAGUGACGGUAAUGGGUAAGGAAGCACCGGCUAACUACGUG